rnacentral:lncRNA from 1 species
AAUGACAUCAGCAAUUUUGGAUCUCUUAAGACCUUUUUCUUCUUUUUUGUAUAGAUAAGCUUAAAUCGUUGCAAAACGGGAUGAAUGUAUCUAUGAAGUACACAAUUGAAGAUCAUGUCCUCUACAAUUACCAUUGAAGAUCGAGGGAAUUCUCAACUCCCAUCGUCCGGAAAAGUCAACUCGAUCGAGAAAGAAGACGAGCAAAAGAUUACGACUUGUUGUUGAAUUUAUAUACGAGUUCUAAGCAAUGGAAUCUAAGAAGAGCUUCAAAGCUUUGCCUACCAAGAAAGAGUUUCUAAGAACAGCAUUAUUUCAAGAACAGGUUCAGAUUGAUUCCGAUGACGAAGGAGUAGGCUUCCGGCUUCUGUGUCUCUCCGGCGGAAGACUCGUCCUCCUUAUCUGCUGACGAGAACAUCGCCCUGGUAAUCCGUCACCGAUCAGCAAAUAUCUACAAGCAUCGUGGAGUUGGCUUUGCCUUGCUAUGGUGACACCGAUCUGUCCCUCUUUUCUUCGGCGCAAAGCAACAUCAUCACAUAAUGACAGGUCGAUGGUGUCAGUACGAGUGAUACACUCGACAGGAGAUGCAGCGCAGCCGGAGAUGCUACCGGUGCAGCGCAAAUUUCACUUGAAUGCUCGCACUCGGUGGAACAGCGACGGUAAGUGCCUCGUUCGGUGCCUGCAAUCUUGGCUAGGCAUUUCGUCGAGCAGUUGGCAUGUGAGCGCGCGAAUCCACACUAACUACGUCUGACCUUGCGCUCUUACUAAUAUACUCC